rnacentral:rRNA from 1 species
GACGAACGCUGGCGGCGUGCUUAACACAUGCAAGUUGAGCGAUGAAGGUUGGUACUUGUACUCACUGGAUGAGCAGCGAUCGGGUGAGUAACGCGUGGGGAAUCCGCCUUUGUGAGGUGGCCAACAUUUGGAAACGAAUGCUAAUACCGCCUAAAAACUUUAAACACAAGUUCUAAGCCUGAAAGAUGCAAUUGAAUCACUCAAACAUGAUCCCGCGUUGUAUUAGCUAGUUGGAGAGGUAAAGGGGCACAAACGCGAGGAUACAUAGCCGACCAGAAAGGCUGAUCGGCCACAUAGGGACGGGAACGCGACCCGAACUCCUGCGGGAGGCAGCAGGAGGGAAUCUUCGGCAAUGGACGAAAGUCGGACCGAGCAACGCCGCGGGAAUGAAGAAGGUUUUCGGAUCGUAAAACUCUGGUAGUAGAGAAGUACGUAAGGGAGAGUGAAAAGCGCAUCAAAUGACGGUAACUACCCAGAAAGCGACGGCUAACUACGUG